GAGCAGCGAUACUCACUCGUUAUAUCGCCCUAAACCUGGACAUUGGUGUUCGCAGGGAUGGAAAUUCUGAAGCAGUAGCAGAGACUUGUAGUCACCAUCCUUUACAGGACGCUAUUAGAGUUGCUUACUAAUUGACACA
rfam:Marine metagenome ctg_1101668104807, whole genome shotgun sequence.